rnacentral:rRNA from 1 species
AGCGAACGCUGGCGGCAGGCUUAACACAUGCAAGUCGAACGCCCGUAGCGAUACGGGAGUGGCAGACGGGUGAGUAACGCGUGGGAACAUGCCCUUUGGUUCGGAAUAACUCAGGGAAACUUGAGCUAAUACCGGAUAAGCCCGAGAGGGGAAAGAUUUAUCGCCGAAGGAUUGGCCCGCGUCCGAUUAGCUAGUUGGUGAGGUAAUGGCUCACCAAGGCGACGAUCGGUAGCUGGUCUGAGAGGAUGAUCAGCCACACUGGGACUGAGACACGGCCCAGACUCCUACGGGAGGCAGCAGUGGGGAAUAUUGGACAAUGGGGGCAACCCUGAUCCAGCCAUGCCGCGUGAGUGAUGAAGGCCCUAGGGUUGUAAAGCUCUUUCGGCGGGGACGAUAAUGACGGUACCCGCAGAAGAAGCCCCGGCUAACUUCGUGCCAGCCGCCGCCGUAAGAC